GAAAAACCACUUGCAGAGUAAGAACCUCAUUGACCUUCUUAGAGAGUUUGACUUUGACUAUUUGCAGCUGCCUAUCGCUCUAUAGCUUGCUCAGUGGUAAUUGUCUCUGUUCUGAGUGGUAAGUGUUUUUGAUUCCGUGUUUAUGCAAAUGAAUGAUGAGAUUUUGAUUGAUUAGUUGAUAACCUACUGAAUGUUUGGUGUACGAGUCUUAUGUUAUUGCUUCUUUCUUAGCUUCUUUCUCAGGUUUGUGUAAUUGGUUUCUCUGAUGGGUUUGUAUAAGAUCUUCUGUGUUCUGGUUAUUGACGUUUUAGCUUGAUAUAAUCUGAUGGGUUUGUUGGUUACUCGCAUUUUAGCUUGAUAUAAUCUGAUAGCUUGAUUUUGGAACCUCUAGACUAAGCACUGUCUUUAGUCUCUUGAGGUUAUAUCCUUGCAGGCUCUCUCGUCUCAAGCUCACACUCUCAAGUUCAGACCCUCUCAAGUUCAAGAGGUUUUGGUUGUUGUGUUAAUAAGAAUGAUUCACUGAAUAUUGUAGAAUGAGCUGGAUGUUACACAAGUUAUAAUCUCAUUUGUUUUGCGUGUAAUGGCUUUGUUGUUGAUUUGUUAGCAAAUUUCAUGUUGCUGGUGUAAUAACAAUCUCCUUUUGAUGGCUUUGUAGAUGCUUGAAAGAUGGAUAUUGGAAGAUGAAGAUGAUGAUUAUAAUGAUGAACUUGGUUUAUUUGAUGUGGCUAUAAGUGAGAGAUUGAGUCAAAGAACAGACUGAGGAGCAGGAUGGCGUCAUGUUCAACAACUUAUGUAUGAAUCUGAUCAACAAUGUUAUGACAUUCUUUUGAAGCUUUGUGCAAGAUCGUAACUGAGCGAUAUGGAUUGAAAGAGUCUCACAAUGUCUACAUUGAGAAUCUAUUGCGAUUUUUCUCGAGGUUGUUGGUCAAGAUAAGACGAAGCGGGAUAUUAGUGCAAGGUAUCAAAGAUCAUUGGAUACGGUACAAAGGAAGCUUGAUGAUGUCUUGAGUGCUCUUCUCAAGUUUGUAGAGGAUACACUAAGACCACAAGAAGGCGAGUUUACAAGAGUCAAUCCGGUUUUGAGGAAUGAUGAUCGGUAUUGGCCUUAUUUCAGAGAUUGUAUUGGAGCAGUUGAUGGAACUCAUGUCCCGGUACUCCCUCCAAAUCAAAAUGCAGAAGCAUACAAGGCAGAAAGCAAGAUCCUACAAUGAAUGUUCUUUCUAUAUGUAACUUCGAUAUGAAGUUCAUAUAUACAUAUCUCGGUGUACCUGGUAGAGCACAUGAUACCAAGGUUUUGACUCAUUGUGCGAGGAAUGACGCUUCUUUCCCACAUCCUCCUCCUGGAAAGUAUUAUCUACUUGACUCCGGAUAUCCGACCAGGACAGGCUAUCUUGGUCCGCAUCGUAGUAUGCGAUAUCAUCUUGGUCAGUUUGCUAGAGGAGGACCACCGGUUAGCGCAAGGGAGUUGUUCAACCGAAAGCAUUAAGGUCUGCGAUCAGUGAUUGAGGGGAAAUUUGGAGUAUGGAAAGCAAAAUGGAGGAUUUUGGAUCGUAAGCAUUUAAAGUAUGAUCUUGUCAAGUGGAUUAAGCUGGUGACAACAACGAUGGCGCUACACAACUUCAUGCGUGUAUCGUCAUGUCUAAAAAAGAGGAAGAUGUACAGAAGAUGAACUCGCCGGCUAUACUAUAUGCGGUGGAAGAGAGUUAUAGUAUAGUAUGUUUUCUUUAGUGUUACUAUUUAUAUAAUGUUACUAUACUAUUUCAGAUAUAGUCUCCUCUCACUCUUGUAUUUCUAUGCUAUAUCUAUGAAAAUGAACAAUCUGUUGUGACCUUUAGUUUCUACAUUUCUCUAUUUCUUCAUGUUCAUUAAUAAAUAAUAAAUAAUUUUUCAUGUUCUAUUUUUAUUUAAUUGUUGUAAAUAAUUACUCGUUCAUUGACUAGUGGUAGAACACGUCAAAUUACCAAACUAAAUAGUAUGAACUCGUUAUUGUAUUUCUAUACAUACGCAAGAAAUGGAAUAACACUUACAUCUCUACUGAUAUUGACAAACAUAUAUAUUUCUUGUUACUCCGACUCAAUCACCUACACAUGUACGAUGAGUACUACUAUCACUAUCGGUUGUUUGACAAAUUCAUUAUAUACCAAUUUCUAGUUUACAAGUCCAAGUCUAUCCUAUAAUUCAUACUUAUAAAGUAUAGUUUAAUAUUACAUAAUAUUAUGUACUAGUUUCAGAUUUUGAUAAUUGGGUUAGGUUUUAUAUUUAUGUUUAGGGUUCAGUAAGUAGAGUUUAAGAUUUAGUAUUUAGAUGGAUGAGUGAUGUUUAGGGUUUAAUAUUUAGGAGUUGGAAUUUGGAAUAAAGUUUAAUAUUUAGGAGUUGUGAAUAGAUUUGGAGUCCUAUGAUGACGAUAUGGUAUAGAAAACUCGGAUGGAUAUUUAUGUGGUAAACAACGUGUCGUGUUAGUGGGUGGUGUUAUAAUUAAUAGUUGAGUUUUACAACCAACCAUAUCAUCUACUUUUUCUCUCUACCAUAAGUUACUUGCAAAAGAUGAGGAUAUAACCGGCUGAAAAAAGGUUAAAUGUUAGUUAGUUAAUUAUGUCAAAAUCAAUGUCUUAUACUUAAUUCUUAUUUUCAGUAAUUUAGAAAAUAAAUCUAUUUUUAAAUCAUGAUUCACAUGGCAGCUGGAGGAAAAAGUAAUGCUAAAUUGGCAUCUUGUGAAAAAGGGUUUUUCGCCUUAUUAAUAUAGACUUCAUUAUUGGCUAUUUUGAGGAUAUGCCUCUUUCUUAGAAGAAUGUUCAUAUUAAUUAUUUUACCAAUUAAAUGAUGAAGACUUAAAUUCAUAGUUUAUUAAGCUUUGGUCAAAGUAUAAAGUAAAGUUUGGUUUAGAAAGUAAAAUUGUGUUCGUGAAACUUAUUGGGGGGGGGGGGGGGGGGUAAUUAACUACUUCAAACUGAAAUUAUUAGAAAUUUAUAAUCGGCAAAUACUAGCACAAGAUGCUACAUGGUAUUUAAUUGUGGAAAAUAAUUAAUACCAUUUCACUAAUGUUCAAAUGUAAUUAGGUAAGAAAAUCAUUCUUUUUGUAUUUCUUUUGACUAUUAUUCUCUAUAGAAAUAAAUUGGUGGAUUAUGUUUUUUCUAUAAUUGACAAGGAAAACAUAUUUUAUGUUGACUACACAAUCCCUAUAUAUAAUUAUCCUACACAAACAAAAAUCAGAAAAUCAAGAAAAUACAUACAAAUGGCUAUCACCAACAAAAUUUUAAUCGCAUUUGUUUUUACUAUCCUUUGUGUCACAUCUGAUGUUCAUUGUAAUACAUAUGCUAGCCCGCCUACUCAUUGUGCUCCAUCUGCUAGUCCUUCUGAUGACGGUCAAGAAAUAAAAUGCUUCACAUACAAUCAGUGUGCAUUUUGGAAGUCAGGGGAGAGACUCUGCGAUGGUAUGUGUAGACGUCUGAAUCAAUUUUUAUAUGGCAGGUGUGCUACUAACAACAAAUGUUGUUGUUACUAAGCAUGCAUCAAAUAUGAAAUAAUUUGAUCACAUGUAAUGGUAUCUGCAUAAAAUAAUAAAAUAAUUAAUCUUCAUAAAUGGUUUAAAAUCAAUGAAAAAGAUUGAGAUUA